UUUAAAUGUACAUUGAUAAUCAAAUUAGUAUUAGUUAAGAUCUUGAAAGUUAAAGAUUUUGGCGGUAUUUUAGUCUUUUCAGAGGAACCUGUCCUAUAAUUGAUAAUCCACGAUAAAUUAUACUUUUAUUAUUAGUUUGUAUAUCAUCGUAGUUGAAUAUUUUAAAAGAAUAAGAAUAUUCGAAAUUUUGAAUUAAAUUAAAAAUCAGAUCAAGGUGCAGUUUAUAUAAAAGGAGAGAUGGGUUACAAUAAUUAUAUUUAUAUGAAUUUAAAAUUGAAAUAAUUUUUUUGAAAGUGGAUUUGAAUGUAAUUUUAAUUAUUUUAUUAAUAUGAAAUUAGCUCUAAAAUAUGU
rnacentral:rRNA from 1 species